UGGUGCCUUCUAGGCUGAGAAAAGCCAGAAAAUGUGUUUUUGGCUCAUGUGGCUAAUAAAGGAUACCAAAUCCCAGAAUGCACUUGCUUCGCUGCUCUGAGUCCACUCCCAAGUCACGCCUACCGCUAGACAGACAGACAGGGAGG